rnacentral:rRNA from 1 species
UACGAAUCAUGCGAACGUUGUUCGGGAUCACUGGGCUUAAAGGGCGCGUGGGCUGCCAUCUAAGUCAGAGGUGAAAUCCCAUAGCUUAACUAUGGAAGUGCCCCUGAUACUGGAUGGCUCGAGGGAGGUAGGGGCAGAUGGAACUUCCGGUGGAGCGGUGAAAUGUGUUGAUAUCGGAAGGAACGCCGGUGGCGAAAGCGAUCUGCUGGACCUCUACUGACGCUGAGGCGCGAAAGCCAGUGGAGUAAAUGGG